rnacentral:rRNA from 1 species
UACGGAGGGUGCAAGCGUUAUCCGGAUUUACUGGGUUUAAAGGGUGCGUAGGUGGGUAGGUAAGUCAGUGGUGAAAUCUUCGAGCUUAACUCGGAAACUGCCAUUGAUACUAUUUAUCUUGAAUACUCUGGAGGUAAGCGGAAUAUGUCAUGUAGCGGUGAAAUGCUUAGAUAUGACAUAGAACACCAAUUGCGAAGGCAGCCUACUACAUAGUUAUUGACACUGAGGCACGAAAGCGUGGGGAUCAAACAGG